rnacentral:rRNA from 1 species
GACGAACGCUGGCGGCGUGCUUAACACAUGCAAGUCGAACGGACAGACAGAGAGCUUGCUCUCUUGAAGUUAGUGGCGAACGGGUGAGUAACGCGUAAUCAACCUGCCCUUCAGAGGGGGAUAACAACGGGAAACCGUUGCUAAUACCGCGUACGAUUCAUGAACGGCAUCGUUUAUGAAUGAAAGGUGGCCUCUAUGUAUAAGCUAUCGCUGAAGGAGGGGAUUGCGUCUGAUUAGCUAGUUGGAGGGGUAACGGCCCACCAAGGCAAUGAUCAGUAGCCGGUCUGAGAGGAUGAACGGCAACAUUGGGACUGAGACACGGCCCAAACUCCUACGGGAGGCAGCAGUGGGGAAUCUUCCGCAAUGGACGAAAGUCUGACGGAGCGACGCCGCGUGAGUGAUGAAGGUCUUCGGAUUGUAAAGCUCUGUUAAUCGGGACGAAAGAGUUCUGCGUGAAUAAUGCAGAAAAGUGACGGUACCGGAAUAGAAAGCCACGGCUAACUACGUGCCAGCCGCCGCAGUAA